rnacentral:rRNA from 1 species
UACAGAGGGGGCUAGCGUUGUUCGGAAUUACUGGGCGUAAAGGGCUCGUAGGCGGCCAACUAAGUCGGAUGUGAAAUCCCCCAGGCUUAACCUGGGAACUGCAUCCGAUACUGGAUGGCUUGAAUUCGGGAGAGGGAUGCAGAAUUCCAGGUGUAGCGGUGAAAUGCGUAGAUAUCUGGAGGAAUACCGGUGGCGAAGGCGGCAUCCUGGAC